rnacentral:rRNA from 1 species
ACUCCCACCCAUGUGAUUAUACCUUUCAUUGUUGCUUCGGCGGGACCUCGCGCCCGCCGGGGACCCAAACCUUCUGAAUUUUUUAAUAAGUAUAUUCUGAGUGGUUAAAAAAAAAAUGAAUCAAAACUUUCAACAACGGAUCUCUUGGUUCUGGCAUCGAUGAAGAACGCAGCGAAAUGCGAUAAGUAAUGUGAAUUGCAGAAUUCAGUGAAUCAUCGAAUCUUUGAACGCACAUUGCGCCCGUCAGUAUUCUGGCGGGCAUGCCUGUUCGAGCGUCAUUACGCCCCUCAAGUCCCCUGGGGACUUGGUGUUGGGGAUCGGCGAGGCUGGUUUUCCAGCACAGCCGUCCCUUAAAUUGAUUGGCGGUCUCGCCGCGGCCCUCCUCUGCGCAGUAGUAAAACACUCGCAACAGGAGCCCGGCGCGGUCCACUGCCGUAAAACCCCCCCCCCAACUUUUUUAGUUGACCUCGAAUCAGGAGGACUACCCGCUAACUUAAGCUAUCAAUAAGCGGAGGAAA